rnacentral:lncRNA from 1 species
UCAUUGUUGUCGGGGAAUAUUCGUUUGGUCGUGGAAUAUUCUUGUUGUCGGGGAAUAUUCAUAUGACGACGCAGUCAUUUGUGGGCCCCAUAACAGAAUAACUGUCGGAUGAAGAAAACGACAAGUUUGAGUUUUUAUAAAUAACGGCGUAGUUGUUACCGUUAACACUGUUGGAAUACCCGGUGGUUAAAAUACAGUAAUAC